rnacentral:rRNA from 1 species
CGGGAAACUGAGGCUAAUUCCACAACACGGUUCCCACGCUGGAACGCCGGGAACCGGAAACGUUCACGCGCCGUAGGAUGUGGCUGCAGCCGAUUAGGUAGACGGUGGGGUAACGGCCCACUGUGCCGAUAAUCGGUACGGGUUGUGAGAGCAAGAACCCGGAGACGGAAUCUGAGACAAGAUUCCGGGCCCUACGGGGCGCAGCAGGCGCGAAACCUUUACACUGCACGACAGUGCGAUAAGGGGACCCCGAGUGCGAGGGCAUACAGUCCUCGCUUUUCUGGACGGUAAGGCCGUCCAGGAACAAGAGCUGGGCAAGACCGGUGCCAGCCGCCGCGGUAAUACCGGCAGCUCGAGUAAUGACCGAUCUUAUUGGGCCUAAAGCGUCCGUAGCCGGCCGGGCAAGUCCGUCGGGAAAUCCACCAGCUCAACUGGUGGGCGUCCGGCGGAAACUGUUCGGCUUGGGACAGGAAGACCCGAGGGGUACGUCCGGGGUAGGAGUGAAAUCCCGUAAUCCUUGGACGGACCGCCGAUGGCGAAAGCACCUCGGGAGAACUGAUCCGACGGUGAGGGAAGAAAGCUGGGGUCUCGAACCGGAUUAGAUACCCGGGU